UUGGGCAGUAGCGGAGAUGAAGAAAAACCAGCACACUAGAUGGUAAAGGAGCAGCCAACAAGAUGCUCUUUACAAUUAUCUUUUAACUUCUUAAAAUAUCUCAUUGAGGAUUCCGUUCCAAGAUGGCCAAAUAGGAACAGCUCUGGUCUGCAGCUCCCAGUGUGAUUGACGCAGAAGACGGAUGAUUUCUGCAUUUCCAACUGAGGUACCUGGUUCAUCUUACUAGGACUGGUUGGACAGUGGGUGCAGCCCACAGAGGGUGAGCCGAAGCAGGGCAGGGCAUCGCCUCACCUGGGAAGCGUAAGGAGUCAGGGGAUUUCUUUUUCCUAGCCAAGGGAAGCCGUGACAGAUGGUACCUGGAAAAACGGGACACUCCUGCCCAAAUACUGCACUUUUCCAAAGUCUUAGCAAAUGGCAUAGCAGGAGAUUAUAUCCUGUGCCUGGCUUGGCAGAUCCUAUGCCCAUGGAGCCUUGCUCACUGCUAGUGCAACAGUCUGAGAUUGACCUGCAAGGCAGAAACCUGGCAUGGGGAGGGGCAUCUGCCAUUGCUGAGGCUUGAGUAGGUAAACAAAGUGGCUGUGGAAGCU
rnacentral:sRNA from 1 species